CUCCGGCAUAGAACAUUUAACAGCUUGCUCAAGAUCGUCCAUCUCCUAAUGGGCAGAGCUAGGUUCUGGAUUCAGACAGCCUGGCUCCACGAUCCAAGUUUUAAAUGCUGAAUCUGAGCAUCAGAGAAGUUAAGGCACUCGAUAAAGACUUCAGUGAUUUUUCCAGAUAAUACAGGGGAAGAAUUGGAACUUAAAGCCAGGUCUUCUGUCUCCAAAUCCCAUGACCUUUAGAGCAUGUUUGAAGGAGAAAGUUCACACAUUUUCAUCUGAGAUACCUACUACUCUUUCUAAAACUAAAUGCGGAGUCUCAGCUGCUUCUAUGAGCUGGGAGGUCAGUGCUCCUAACCCCCACAUUGUUCAAGAGUCAACUGUAUCAGGAAAUACAGAGAGAGGCACGAUGAGAAGGUGGCCAUCUGCAGCCAGGAAGAAAGGCCUCAGGAGAAACCAAACCUGCCGACACCCUGGUUUCAGACUUUCGGCCUCCAGAACUUCA